CCUACGGGAGGCAGCAGUGGGGAAUUUUGGACAAUGGGGGCAACCCUGAUCCAGCAAUGCCGCGUGAGUGAAGAAGGCCUUCGGGUUGUAAAGCUCUUUUGUCAGGGAAGAAAAGGUAGUCUCUAAUACAGACUGCUCAUGACGGUACCUGAAGAAUAAGCACCGGCUAACUACGUGCCAGCAGCCGCGGUAAUACGUAGGGUGCAAGCGUUAAUCGGAAUUACUGGGCGUAAAGCGUGCGCAGGCGGUUAUAUAAGUCAGAUGUGAAAUCCCUGGGCUCAACCUAGGAACUGCAUUUGAGACUGUAUGGCUAGAGUGUGUCAGAGGGGGGUAGAAUUCCACGUGUAGCAGUGAAAUGCGUAGAUAUGUGGAGGAAUACCGAUGGCGAAGGCAGCCCCCUGGGAUAACACUGACGCUCAUGCACGAAAGCGUGGGGAGCAAACAGGAUUAGAUACCCCAGUAGUC
rnacentral:rRNA from 1 species